UCGCUAGUGGGGAUACUGGAAGUUAGAUAAGAGAAGGGGUGGCUUGCGUGGCAGCAACUCAGGAUAUCGCAAAGUUGGUCAGAGAGCCGGCAGCCCGCAACGCGAGUGUUUGCUGCCGAGUUGAUUCGAGUUUUGCCGUCGAUUGUAACGUUAGGGAGAAAAAGACAUUCGUAUAACGUAAGAGGAAACUCGUCACGACGAGACACAUCAUUGCGUUCCGUCAGCUUCGUAUCCGGUUACGUUUUUCUUAGUGUCGCUUGUGUCGUUAAACGAUCCUCUUCCGGCUCCUUUUUGCCAUUUUAUUAGCAACACGGUUCCCUGUCGCUCUCCUGUUCCACUAUCAUUGCCCCUGUUUUGCUUCCACUUUAAACUUCGCGUCUCAUCUCCUCUGCUUCUUUCAACGUAACGCGCGCCACGUACGAGAGGGCAGAGAUUAAUCGGCUGCAGGGAAUCGAACGAGGAUUACAGUUUCCGUGGAGGAAAAAAAAUUGCUGGGAUAUCGAAAAGUCCGAGUCGCGAGUGAACGUACCGCUGUCACUGCCGCUGCUAUCGCUGCUGCCGCGUAAAGAGUUGGUUAGCCAGAAUUUGGAUCAAUGAUCUAAGGCCGUGCAGAGAAGCUCGGGUCCUGCGCAAUUGGACGGUAGGAUAUAGCCCUACCGCCUUUCAGGGAAAGGGACGUGCAAAUCCUGCGCAAUACUCAACGCCAACAUUGUCCGCAUGAAAUCGCGGUGAGACAACCCGGUGACUUUCUCAUAGAAGAUUUUCUUCGAAAGUUUGUUGCUUCGCCAUGAGCACUACGGACCCUACCGGUGAAGGAGGAGGAGGAGGAGGAGGCGGAGGUGGAG